rnacentral:rRNA from 1 species
AGUGAACGCUGGCGGUAGGCCUAACACAUACAAGUCGAACGGCAGCACAGUAAGAGCUUGCUCUUACGGGUGGCGAGUGGCGGACGGGUGAGGAAUACAUCGGAAUCUACUUUUUCGUGGGGGAUAACGUAGGGAAACUUACGCUAAUACCGCAUACGACCUACGGGUGAAAGCAGGGGAUCUUCGGACCUUGCGCGAUUGAAUGAGCCGAUGUCGGAUUAGCUAGUUGGCGGGGUAAAGGCCCACCAAGGCGACGAUCCGUAGCUGGUCUGAGAGGAUGAUCAGCCACACUGGAACUGAGACACGGUCCAGACUCCUACGGGCGGCAGCAGUGGGGAAUAUUGGACAAUGGGCGCAAGCCUGAUCCAGCCAUACCACGUGGGUGAAGAAGGCCUUCGGGUUGUAAAGCCCUUUUGUUGGGAAAGAAAAGCAGCAGGUUAAUACCCCGCUGUUCUGACGGUACCCAAAGAAUAAGCACCGGCUAACUUCGUG